GUGAAGAACGCAGCGAAAUGCGAUAAGUAAUGCGAAUUGCAGAAUUUCCGUGAGUCAUCGAAUCUUUGAACGCACAUUGCGCCCCCUGGUAUUCCGGGGGGCAUGCCUGUCCGAGCGUCAUUGCUGCCCUCAAGCACGGCUUGUGUGUUGGGCCUCCGUCCUCCUCCCGGAGGACGGGCCCGAAAGGCAGCGGCGGCACCGCGUCCGGUCCUCGAGCGUAUGGGGCUUCGUCACCCGCUCUUGUAGGCCCGGCCGGCGCUUGCCGACACAUCAAUCUUUUUUCCAGGUUGACCUCGGAUCAGGUAGGGAUACCCGCUGAACUUAAGCAUAUCAAUAAGCGGAGGA
rnacentral:misc_RNA from 1 species